rnacentral:rRNA from 1 species
UCGGAGCGUAAACUCCUUUUGUUAGGGAAGAACAAUGACGGUACCUAACGAAUAAGCACCGGCUAACUCCGUGCCAGCAGCCGCGGUAAUACGGAGGGUGCAAGCGUUACUCGGAAUCACUGGGCGUAAAGGACGCGUAGGCGGAUUAUCAAGUCUUUUGUGAAAUCUAAUGGCUCAACCAUUAAACUGCUUGAGAAACUGAUAAUCUAGAGUGAGGGAGAGGCAGAUGGAAUUGGUGGUGUAGGGGUAAAAUCCGUAGAGAUCACCAGGAAUACCCAUUGCGAAGGCGAUCUGCUGGAACUUAACUGACGCUAAUGCGUGAAAGCGUGGGGAGCAAACAGGAUUAGAUACCCUGGUAGUCCACGCCCUAAACGAUGUAUACUAGUUGUUGCUGUGCUAGUCAUGGCAGUAAUGCACCUAACGGAUUAAGUAUACCGCCUGGGGAGUACGGUCGCAAGAUUAAAACUCAAAGGAAUAGACGGGGACCCGCACAAGCGGUGGAGCAUGUGGUUUAAUUCGAAGAUACGCGAAGAACCUUACCUGGGCUUGAUAUCCUAAGAACCUUGUAGAGAUACGAGGGUGCUAGCUUGCUAGAACUUAGUGACAGGUGCUGCACGGCUGUCGUCAGCUCGUGUCGUGAGAUGUUCGGUUAAGUCCGGCAACGAGCGCAACCCACGUAUUUAGUUGCUAACAGUUCGGCUGAGCACUCUAAAUAUACUGCCUUCGUAAGGAGGAGGAAGGUGUGGACGACGUCAAGUCAUCAUGGCCCUUAUGCCCAGGGCGACACAC